GUAACCUAAUGAAAAGUAUACAUAUAUAAAUAUAAUAAUAGAAAAGAUUUAGUAUAAUAAAAAUCAAUCAAGAUUAAUUAAUAUAUAAGAAAAUGCGCUAUUGAUAAAAAUAGGUAAAAAUUUAUUUAAUAAAAAUGAAUAAAAAACCUAAAGGAAACUGAUAAAAGUAAACUAGGUGAAUUGAAACAUCUUAGUAACCUAAGGAAUAUAAAUCAACAGAGAUUCUAUGAGUAUUGGUGAGAGAAAAUAGAGUAUAGUUUAAGCAAGUACCUCCUCAAUAAAGGUGGGAAUAUAGGAUUAACUAAUUCUAAAGCUAAAUAUUAUCAAUAAGCACUAACUAGUACCGAAAGGGAAUUUUAUAUAUUAGUAAAAUCAUGAGCAAUAAGAGAAUUUUAAACAAUUAAAAUUUGAUUAUGUACCUUUUGUAUAAUGGGUUAGCAAGUUAUAAUUAUUAGCAAAAAGAAAUUUUUUCUUUAUAAAGAAAUUGAGAAAAAUAAUGUAUAUAUACAUUAUUAGUAGUUAAUAGUUAUAUACCCGAAAGUAGAUGAUCUUAUCAUAACCAAGCGGAAGUAUUAUAUUACUAUUAAUUUGGUAAAUAAUAUAAAUCGGCUGAACAAGUUAAUGUUGCAAUAUUAUUUGAUGAGUUAUGAUAAGUAGUGAAAGACAAAUCUGAUCUACAAAUAGCUGGUUUUUUGUGAAAUAUAUUUUAGUAUAGCGUUAUUUAUUAUUAAUCGGAAGGUAAAGCAAUUAAUUAUCAUUGGGGUUUUUUUACUAAAAUUAUCAAUAUAAUUUAAUCUCAUAAUUCUUCCACAUUAUAAUUAAAUAAUAGUCAGACUAUUGGCGAUAAGGUUUAUAGUCUAAAGGGAAACAGCCCAGAUUAUUAGGUAAAGUUCCAAAUUAUAUUCUAAGUGUAAUUAAUAUAAAUUAUCUCUAUAACAACUACGAGAUGGGUUUGACAGUAAUCUAUUCUAUGAUCAACGUGUAUCAACGGACUAGUUAUGUAAAUAAUAAUUUUAUUUUAAGAGAAAUUAUAUAGACAAUACCCGGAACUUAUAUUAAAGAAUAUAACUGAACCUAUAAAUAAUAGGAUAUUUAAUUAUCUUAUUAUGGUAACAAAACACUCAAUUAUAGAAUAUCUUAAUUAAUUUAAGGUAAUAAUAAUAGUAUUAUUUUGCAAAUUUUGCUAAAUAUAUACAAUACAAAUGAAAUUGAAUAGAGAAUGCUAACAUGAGUAACGUAAAAGGGGAUAAUCCCCUUCACUUUAAGUAUGAGGUUUUAAUAAAAAAUCGGUCCCUAAGAUUAUUACCUGAAUAGGUAUAAUUAAUAGGUAAUUAAUAAUUAUAAUACACGACUAAUGUAAUUAUAUUACAUAUAAUUAUAACAAUAAUUAGUACAGGAAAAAAUUAUAAUAACUAAUACCGUAAUAAGACCGACACAGGUAUACGAAAGUAGAAAAGAAAGUGAAUAAGAUAAUUUUGGUAAAUGAACUCGGCAAAACAUAUUUCCCACGUUUGUCAAAAGGAAAUAAUAAAGUACAUAUCGUGCAACUGUUUACUAAAAACACAGCACUUUGCGAAAAUUAAUAUUAUAGUAUAAAGUGUGAGGUCUGCCCAAUGCUUAUUAAUAAAGUAUGUUAUUUAAUCGAUAAUGUAAUUAAAAUUUAAGUCAAUGGCGGCUUUAUAAUGAGAGUCAUAAUGUAGCCUGAAAAGAGUUGUCUACUAAUUAUAGUCUCGCAUGAAUGAUAGAAUGAUGCGAUAACUGUAUCUACCAAAAUCUUAGUGAAAUUGAAUUAGCGGUGAAGAUGCCGUUUACCUAAAGUUAGACGAGAAGACCCGAUGCAGCUUUACUAUAGUCUAAUAAGUUGUUCCUAUUUUAUUCAAUUUUUAGAAUAUUAAGUAAUAUAUUGGUAUAAUAAUGAAAUACUUAAAUUUGAAAUUAUAGGUACUUAUCUCGUAAUCAACUAAUUAAUUUAGAUAAUUAAUAAUUCUUAAUUAGUUUAGAGAGACAUCUUUAGCCUGAUAGUUUAAAUGGGGCGUUGAUUUCAUAAAAUGUAACUGAAUAUGACCAUUUACAAUUAAAUUAGAUAUAUUCGAUAUAAAUUAAAAAGAUAAUUUUUAAUAUUGUUAAAAACAUUGAAUCAAUGUUAUAAUAGAAUAAAUUAUUGUAUAGUUAAUCUGAAGAUGAAAUCAGAUAUAUAUAUUUAUUGUUAAGAUAAAUAUUCUUUAAAGUAUAAUAGCAUAACUAUGCAAGAAAUUCGGACCUACAAGUCUGAAUUAUACUUACGUAUGGUAUAGUGAACAGAUCAUAUUUAUAGUACAAGUGAUCGAUAACGAAUAAAAGCUACGCCGGGGAUAACAGCAUGGUAGCGCGAGAGAGUAGAUAUUGUCAGCGCUGUUCGUGACCUCGAUGUCGACUCAACCUAUCCUAUUGGUCGUAGAAGCUAAUAAGGGUUUGACUGUUCGUCAAUUAAAAGGUUACGUGAGUUGGGUUAAAUACGUCGUAAGACAGUAUGGUUUCUAUCUUCUUUAGGACAUAGUUAAUAGAAUUCUAUAUCUUAGUACGAAAGGAUUGGAUAUUGUUAAUCAAUGAUUUGACUGUUAUUAAGAGGAGUAUAUCUAUGAUAUAUUCAUAUAAUUUAUUGUUUAACAGAAGUAACUUAGUAUGCAGUUAAGUUAAAUUAAUCUAUUUUAAGUAUUGAAAGCAUUUCAAAUACGAAAUUAAAUUCUAUAAACUAAUAACAUAUGCACAAGUUGCAUAUUUAAUAUUAUAUUAGACUAGUAUAUUAAUAGCUACAUAUUACCAUAAUUAUGUAUAGCCUAAUUAAUAUUAUAUUUUUAUUAUACUUCUAUUAUUUAUUUAAACAACAACACAU